AUGGCCCGCUUUCCCGACCUCUUCUCCAUCGCAGUCGUCCCUACAAUCUCAGUUCAACAGGCCCUUAUUGACUUAGGGCGCCUCGCAUUCCGGAGGCCAUUUGGGCCUCCGGAAGUGGCCGCCUGGCAUGAGCUUCUUGAUUGUAUUCCUCUCCAUGAACCGACUGUUGAUGCUGGCCCGGAUGAGGUUCGGUGGCGCCUUGAGCCUUAGGGUCAAUUCUCCACCAAGUCCCUGUACGCGGCUAUCGCCCCUUCCUCCGCCCCGCCGCCCCUCCAAACGGUUUGGUCCAUUCGCCUGCCCCUUAAAAUCCAGAUCUUCAUGUGGCAAUGGAUCCGCGGUCGGCUUCCGUCGAGAGUUGAGGUUCGCAAGCGCAAUGGCCCGGGCUCUGGCCUCUGCCCCCUAUGUGAUACCCCCGAAGACUCGAACCACAUUUUCUUCUCCUGCGUGUCUGCUCAGUUCGUUUGGAGCUGCUUUAGAGAGGCGGUUGGUGGGGAUUGGUGCCACUCCAACUUCCCCGACCUCUUCACCGAAUUACACGCCUCCCUGCUGCCCUCUCGCCACAUUAGGUGGCUUGAGAUUGGGGUCCUAGCAUGGACGCUCUAG
rnacentral:rRNA from 1 species